rnacentral:rRNA from 1 species
ACACGUAGGGGCCUGACGUUGUUCGGAAUCAUUGGGCGUAAAGGGCGCGCAGGCGGCCGUCCAAGUCCGGUGUUAAAUGGUCGGGCUCAACCCGAUCAUGCGCUGGAAACUGGGCGGCUUGAGUCCCGUAGGGGAUGCCGGAAUUCCAGGUGUAGGGGUGAAAUCUGUAGAUAUCUGGAAGAACACCGAUGGCGAAGGCAGGCAUCUGGCCGGAGACUGACGCUGAGGCGCGAAGGCGCGGGGAGCGAACAGGUUUAGACACCCUGGUAGUCCGCGCAGUAAACGAUGCGCACCAGGUGUCGGGCGGCAGCGCCCGGUACCGGAGCUAACGCGAUGAGUGCGCCGCCUGGGGAGUAUGCCCGCAAGGGUGAAACUCAAAGGAAUUGACGGGG